UCCAGCAGAGGCAUCGCUGCAUGGUUAGUGUUCAGCACUCUGCAAAAAAAGUCUCUCUUUGGCUUGUAGCUGCGGGAAAAGGGCUGAGCCUCCCUCUUGCUGACUCCCACAGGGCUCAGACAGAGAGAAGGGGCUGGGACGCUGCUGUUCCGCUGUGAAGAUGGGAACAAUCCCAGGCUCAGGGAUUGUGCUGAUUUUUCUCCUGACUGUAGCUAAAGAGCAGAACUUCCCUCUCGCUGACUUUCACCGGGUCCAAGCAGAGAUAAAAGGUCCUGAUCUUUGCAGAGGAGCAGAGAGAGACAGAUUUUGGUGUUAGGAUGGUACCAAAUCUUGGCUCAGCGAUUUUGCUGAUUGCUGUUUUAAGUGCCCCCGGCAGAGCCGAGAUCCGGCAGCCGGUCUCAGCAGAAGCGGUGGAGGGAGCCGAACUGAACCUCACCUGCUACCACGCCUCGAUCUCCAACGAAAAUGUGUUUUGGUACCGGCAGUUCCCAAACCGAGGGCCGCAAUAUAUAGUCUCUGGCUACCAGGGACUCUUUAAUAGCAGCGACCCAGAGGGAGCUUUGCACAUCCCUAAAGACAGAAAAUCCAGCGCCCUGGCCCUGCGCAGGGCGAGGCUGGCAGACGCAGCGGUGUAUUACUGCGCUCUGCGUGACACAGUGUGAGAGCCAGGGGCGGCCCCCGUUCAAUAAACACCGCACUCCGGGCUGUGUGUGUAGGCGGUGGGGGGGGGGGUGAUAUAGGGUGUGCUUCCAUGUUGGGGAGAG